UACGUAGGGUGCGAGCGUUAAUCGGAAUUACUGGGCGUAAAGCGUGCGCAGGCGGUUCGUUGUGUCCGAUGUGAAAUCCCCGGGCUUAACCUGGGAACUGCAUUGGUGACUGCAUUGCUGGAGUAUGGCAGAGGGGGGUGGAAUUCCACGUGUAGCAGUGAAAUGCGUAGAGAUGUGGAGGAACACCGAUGGCGAAGGCAGCCCCCUGGGCCAAUACUGACGCUCAUGCACGAAAGCGUGGGGAGCAAACAGG
rnacentral:rRNA from 1 species